rnacentral:rRNA from 1 species
UACAGAGGGGGCAAGCGUUGUUCGGAAUUACUGGGCGUAAAGGGCGCGUAGGCGGCCCGCUAAGUCGAACGUGAAAUCCCCGGGCUCAACCCGGGAACUGCGUCCGAUACUGGCGGGCUUGAAUCCGGGAGAGGAUAGGGGAAUUCCUGGUGUAGCGGUGAAAUGCGUAGAUAUCGUAAGGAAGACCAGUGGCGAAGGCGAGUCUCUGGACAGUUACUGACACUGAGGCACGAAGGCCAGGGGAGCAAACGGG